rnacentral:rRNA from 1 species
CACGUAUGGUGCAAGCGUUGUCCGGAAUUAUUGGGCGUAAAGGGCUCGUAGGCGGUCCGUCACGUCGGGAGUGAAAACUCGGGGCUCAACCCCGAGCCUGCUUUCGAUACGGGCGGACUAGAGGUAGGUAGGGGAGAACGGAAUUCCUGGUGUAGCGGUGGAAUGCGCAGAUAUCAGGAGGAACACCGAUGGCGAAGGCAGGUCUCUGGGCCAUAACUGACGCUGAGAAGCGAAAGCAUGGGGAGCGAACAGG